AAUAGUGGCAUUUAUUAAGAGACCUGUUCUCCUCUCACUGCCCCAGCUUAUGAAAAUUUGAUCAUGUCACACAGACAGAGCUGCGUGGCCAUUUAUUUAGGGUUAGAUUUUUGCGUGUGCGCUCACCCCUCCCCAUAUAUCCAAACCCAAGUCUGAGAUGAUCUUCUCAUUCUGUCCGUCCUCUUUACAGGAUGGGUGACUGAGAACACCUUGGGGGAACUGGACACGGGUGGGCAGGGCCUGGAAGUGUGUCACUAGAGACUGCGGUGGCUGAAGGCCAGGACCCCGGGCCUCCUGAGCGAUGGUGAUUAAUACCCACAAUAAUCAUACUUAAUAAUAAUCUAUCCUUGAUGACUCUGUGCCCUCCAGGCGAUGCGGCCUUGGGAAGGGCUCUGAGGCCAACCGUCCCACCUCCUGGAAAUUCUUGGAAACCCAGGCGGAGGAUGGCUGGAGGGACUGGGUGUUGGCAGGGUCAGAGGUCAUCAGGUGGCGCCUUGUGGGCGCCUAGGGGUCGAAUGCUAGAAUAACAGUGACAUUCUUGGACUGGACAAAAGCUGACGGUGAAGGCAGAGAGCUGGUACCUGUGCCGGGGGAGCUGUUUUUCAGCUUGGACGUUUGCCUCGACUCUUUCAUCCAGGGGAAUAUCUGUUUGGUGAGGGUAGAGUUGGAGCCGGGACCGCACUUGGGGGGGCCGCUUUUGCUGGGCCCGCUCCCGUUAUUGCUGUUGCUAGUGGUACUGGUAGGUGCGGCGCUGGGUGGGGGUGAGCCCGGCGGGGCGGGCAGGGGCUCUGGGGCCAGGCCGGGCCUCAUGCAGCUGCCGUUGAGCUCCUUGCUCUUGGCAUGUGGGGCGGCAUUGCCCAGGGACUGCAGGGAACACGCUGAGCGCUGGUAGUCACCCUCCAGGUGCGUAGCGGCCUGAAAGGGGGGCUGGGGAGGCCCGUCGUAGCCGAAACCAUUGCUGCCAGGAUACGAGGAGUAGCCUCCGAAGAGCGCAGCUGCCGUGUUGUCGUAGUAGGUGGCUUUCUGCAUCGCUGGGCGAGGCCCGGGCAGUGGGUGGCAACUUGCAAGGGCCUGAUACCCUCACGACCGGACAUUGGCACCCCUGGGGGUCACGUGACACGCCGGACCCCCCCUCCCCUUUCUGCCCCCCUCCUCCCGGGUCUGUUCCAAGCGGCUGACCUGCGGGGCGAGAGAAGAGACACACGGGGAGAAGAGGACUGGGCCUCGAAUCCAUCUUAGGAACUAAAAAGGGAACUGACAUCAAUAGGGAUUUUUUUCUUCUCUCCUCGCCAGGCUUUCUGCAGCAGACGCUGGGACCAAGCAUCUGACCUGACAUGGAUGCUUCUUGCUUCAACUUUAAUUUUAAAGAAAAAACAAAAUAAAACAAAACACCGAUUUUCAUUUUGAUUUUUUUUUUAAAGGAUUGUACUCCUUUGGGGAAUGCUUGGGAAUAGGAUACCAUUGCUUCGCGGACCAUGGCUUCCUUCCCUCCUGCUCGUACACCAGCCCCUGACCUUUCCUACAAUUUCUACUUACCUCCCCCCACCCAACUCUGGGAAAGGGCAAUUCCAGGGAGGGGGCACUAUUAGACUCCAAAAUAAAAGCAUCUUGGAGGCCCUCGUCCCAGUGUAGAGGCCUCUGUCUCCUCUCUCUCCUCUCUCCAGAUCCUUCCACCUAAGCAAAGUCUAGCCUGGAAGGAACUUGCAGAUCUUGGACCCAAGCCAGACUGAAAAGCAAGUUCAUCUGGGACCCUUCCCUCCAGGAAGAUCAUAACAGCCUAAGGUAGAAAAUUCCUGAAGAUUUUUAACCCCCAGAGCCAGUGGAACCAAGCCUCAUCCAUCUAUGUCCCAUCUGCAGGAAAAAAAGUAAAAAGAAAAAGAAAAGAUGGCACAACUGCUGGAAUUUUUCUACUGAGGUGGGGGAAAAUUAUUCAGGACGAAAAAGACUCAUAAAACAAUUUGAGCACUAUUCUUCUCUGGGUUUGGAAAGGGGGCUGUUUACUGAGGUUCCCAACAGCAAAAAUAAAUAAAUAAAUAAGAUGAUGCUCACUAUUUUAAUACAGCCUUUCAAAAGUGCACCAGAAAAAUAAAGCUUGACCACCGUGUCAGGGGAUUUUGUAUUCG